rnacentral:lncRNA from 1 species
UGAUAAAGUAGAGAACAAGGAAUACAAGAUGAAAGCAUGUGAUAGAUCUAUUGUGAAUUGACUGUAUGUUCAUCAAAUGAAAGAACAAAUGGAGCAAUUUCAAAAUCAGAAGAAGCAAAGCAAUAAAGAAGUACUGAAUUUUCUGGUGAUAAACUAAGAAGAAGAAGCAAAUAUGAACACAUGUGAUACUUGAAGAAGAGAAAAUUAUUCUUGUGCAAGGAGCUUUUGAUAUCUUUUAAACUUCUCUGAAAAAAAUGAUGCAAAGAAGAGUCCAACAAUUAGAUUUAUUUUCUUGUCAAAUAGACAAAGGUGAAAAUGAAUUAGGGCUUUGUACUCGUAUCUUCUUUGAUCCAGCAGAUGAGGAUGAAAAGGAACCAGGUGUUUUUAUUACUGAAAUUGCUGAAGGGGGUGCAGCCCACAAACUUGGAUGGAUUGAAAUUGGAAGAGAGCCACCUGAAGUCAAGACAGAACUCAUCAUACUCCUUGAAUUGUCAGAGGAAAGGAAGAAAUUUUUUACAGAUUCAGUCAUAGUUCAGGAAAAAGUUGGAGAUAUCAAAAUUGUGAAAGGAAAAGCAAGAAAUUCUAAAACUCCGAAAAUAUCAUGGCUCUGGAUCACCAGAGAACUGGAAUUAAAAAAUGAAGAGAUGGAAUUGAAAAGAAUAAUAGAAGAAGAAGGUCAGAAAUAUAAAAAAGACCUCAAGGAAAUUGAUGAAAUGACUAACAACUUGAUAGAGAAACUUAAAAAAUACGUGAACAUAUCUGAAGUGAAUAUCGGAAAUCAGCCUGAGGAGACAGUAAAAGAAGAUAUAACAACAGGGCAAUUAUUGGCCGCAGAGGACAUCAGUUUAGAUAUCACAAUUAAAAAAGAACAAGUAGCAGAAUUAGUAGAAGAGGAGAUCAGCAGUGGCAAACCUGCAGUGGGAAAAGCUCCAAUGCAGUUUUCCUGGUUUUGCAAUGUCCAAGGAUACAAUUGGAGGAACUUCUUUUGUUUUAAAAAACAUGAUAAACAAGUAAAGAAUGUGCGCAAGCAGGAAGAAACUGACCUAAAGCUGCUGGUGUCUGACUGGACAGAAACUCAAGUUGGCCAUUGGUUAAAGAGUAUUGGAAUGAAAAAAUAUAUCCUGAAAUUUGAUUAUAAAAGAGUAAGCAGUCAAGAACUUCUUGAAUUAGACAAUGAUGCAUUAAAAGUAAGCUUCAGAAUUGGCUUUUUAUAUAUGCUACAUACAAUUAUAUAUUAACUUAUUUUAUGGUGGGCAUUGGAUGAAAAACAGUACAAAUAAUGGGAUUCCUAUAUAUGGCCUAUUUGACAACCUUAUGGUUUUAAGGAAAACAUGUUAACUACUUUUUUGAAUGUAGUUUCAAGAAAUGUUUUUAAUGUGAUUUGCUCCCCCCUUUUUUUAGUAUUCCUGCCAUAUGGUCAUUCCUUUUUAUUUCUAUUUAUUUAUUGAAACCUUAUACCUUCCGUCUUAGAAUAUAUAACAUAUAAAUUUCCAAAGAAAAAGAAUUUUAAGGGGUGGGCAAUGUGAGGCAAGUGACUGUCUCAGCAUCAUACUUCUAGGGGGUCACAUUUGAAACCAGGACCUCUUUUCUCUAGGUUUGGUUCUCAAUCUAUUGAGCCACCAUUCUUUUUUUUUAAGAAUUCUAUUUAUUAACAAACACUGGAAAGCAGAAAAGCAAUAUUUUAAUUUUUGACCAGGCAGAUUAACUUCACUGAAACAGAUUAAAAAACAGUAAUCAUGGGAAAUGGCAAGCUUUCAUUUCAUUUAUAGUAAAUACAAUAUCAAUAUUUUAAACUUUAAAUAUUAAAUAUUGGUUAGUAUAACAUCUUUGUCAUUGACUAGAGGUACUAGAGGAAUAUGAUAAUUGACUACACAAAACCCUGAAAUAUAUUCUACUUGGAUUCAUUUGCCACAUAAGAAAAUAUUAGGAGGAUUUUUUAAAAUAUAGCUUCUUUCACAAUUAUUUCUAAAAUGUUCCUAAUGUAUUCUAUUUAAGUAUCUCUAAGCUAUAAAUUUCUGAUAUUCUCGGUUCUUCCAUUUGAAGACAAAUGAAAAUUAUGCAAUUAAAAAUAAUAAAAAAUGCAUAGUGUUUCA